GACGAACGCUGGCGGCGUGCUUAACACAUGCAAGUCGAACGGAAAGGCCCUGCUUGCAGGGUACUCGAGUGGCGAACGGGUGAGUAACACGUGGGUGAUCUGCCCUGCACUUCGGGAUAAGCCUGGGAAACUGGGUCUAAUACCGGAUAGGAGCCAUUUUUAGUGUGAUGGUUGGAAAGUUUUUUCGGUGUAGGAUGAGCUCGCGGCCUAUCAGCUUGUUGGUGGGGUAAUGGCCUACCAAGGCGGCGACGGGUAGCCGGCCUGAGAGGGUGGCGGCCACAUUGGGACUGAGAUACGGCCCAGACUCCUACGGGAGGCAGCAGUGGGGAAUAUUGCACAAGGGGCGCAAGCCUGAUGCAGCGACGCCGCGUGGGGGAUGACGGCCUUCGGGUUGUAAACUCCUUUCGCUAGGGACGAAGCUUUUUGUGACGGUACCUAGAGAAGAAGCACCGGCUAACUACGUG
rnacentral:rRNA from 1 species